UUGACGACGAACCGGAAGUGGUUCUAUGUCUCCACCAGCUGAAGCUAGAAAGCUAAAUGAACCUCAAACUACUUCAUUUGAUUAUUACCUAACGCGAAAUCCAUGGCUGCGAUGCGUUGUUAUCUGCAUUGUCCUCCAGGAUGGGUGUGUACACAUUGAACUGCAGCAGGAAGAACAGAUGAAGCAUGUUCUGAAAUGUUUUUUCAAGCACCUUGACAGAGGAUUUGCUGUAACUCAGGGCUGUUAAAAGAUGAAUCCUCCUCGUCCAUCCUCCAUCUGGUCUCCUGACAGCUCCAGGUGGAGCAGUGCCAUGUAGCAACAACAAACGGACACCCUGGUGUCCAGUGAGAAAUCCCCUCCUGUGAGCCCCACGGACCUGGAGCUCCACAAGAAAGACCGUUUCAUGUCACAGGUGGUGAAGGCUUGAAGGAGACCUGAAAAAGCUUUUGGGAAAACUAUUCUGUGAGAAAGCCAUUGAGACAAAGAACACCGUUCAGCUUCCCGUUAAACAAGGAAAGGAAAAAAAUGGAGACCAAAGUCGCCACAUUUCUGAUCGAUGUUCGGAAAAAGACGGCUGGAGUGUUUAGCUAAAUUAGCCCAUCAUCAUUAGAUGUGUUGCCAGGCAACUGGAGAGACGAGGCUAAUCAUCCUGACAUGUCGGGGUGAUGGAGAUGCCACAGAGGUGGAGGGAGAAAACAAGGAUGACCAACAGGCCGUUUUCUUCUGCCAGGUCAAACUGAAACUGAUCAGCAGAGAAGACGCGCGGUCACCUGCCUUCCAGGUCGUUUCAAACCUUUUCUGUUUUAAAAACCGGAGUCAAACUUGAUACAUUUACAGGAUGGAAAAACUGUUUUUUAUUUAUUUCCAUUUUGUUACCGGGAAUCAGUUUGCAUGAUUUGGAAAACAUUUGUUUGCACUUUGUUGAAAAUAAAGAAAUUAUUUGAAUUAAUUGAUUUUUUUCAAAAAGAAACUUGGCAUGUGUUUGAAAUGCUUAAAAAGCCAUUUCUUCA